rnacentral:rRNA from 1 species
UACAGAGGUCUCGAGCGUUAGGCGGAAUCACUGGGCUUAAAGCGUGUGUAGGCGGGUCGUUAAGUACCUUGUGAAAUCCCAUGGCUCAACCAUGGAACUGCUGGGUAUACUGGCGAUCUUGUGCAACCUAGGGGCGAGCGGAACAGAUGGUGGAGCGGUGAAAUGCGUAGAUGUCAUCUGGAACGCCAAUGGUGAAAACAGCUCGCUGGGGGUUUGCAGACGCUGAGACACGAAAGCCAGGGGAGCGAACGGG